ACUGUCUGCUGUACUUUUGAGGCCUGACUUCAUCUUUCCUGAAGCCGAAACAAACCAAGCUGUCAUCGCUUGUCUGAGUGAUGCUGAUCAGUCUCACUCUGUGCUGUCCAGCCUCGGAGCCACUUUAGAGUGCGUCUAUGCUGCUGUUACACCUCUACAUCACCGCCCCGGCCUUUGCAGGUUCAUCGUGUCAUCAUUUCAUCAGGAAGAUCAUCAGCCACCACUAGAGGGUUCAUGGACGACACCUUGUGAUAAAACAUCUCCCAGAAAAACUCAUUCCCAAAUGGUAACACUGGGAAAUGAGGAUCGCAUUGAGGGCCAUGGACAUACAGGACAUACAUACUGACAUGCUUUUUUAAAUUUUAAAUUAGGUUGAUUAAGGUUGCGUUUGUUAUGCUCAGCCUCCAAGAUGCACCCCCCUCGUCCUCCCUCAAGAAAGUCUUGAUAGUUUAAGUAUCUAUAUAGCGCCAGAUCCCAACAGAAGUCAUUUAAGGUUACCUUUCCUAUAAAAUAAGUCUUUACCCUUUUCUUUUAUUGAACA
ensembl:lncRNA